CCACCAAACCGACGAUGGAUAGGGGUUCUGAGAGGAAGGUCCCCCACAUUGGUACUGAGACACGGACCAAACUCCUACGGGAGGCAGCAGUGAGGAAUAUUGGUCAAUGGCCGAGAGGCUGAACCAGCCAAGUCGCGUGAAGGAAGAAGGAUCUAUGGUUUGUAAACUUCUUUUAUAGGGGAAUAAAGUGGAGGACGUGUCCUUUUUUGUAUGUACCCUAUGAAUAAGCAUCGGCUAACUCCGUGCCAGCAGCCGCGGUAAUACGGAGGAUGCGAGCGUUAUCCGGAUUUAUUGGGUUUAAAGGGUGCGUAGGUGGUGAUUUAAGUCAGCGGUGAAAGUUUGUGGCUCAACCAUAAAAUUGCCGUUGAAACUGGGUUACUUGAGUGUGUUUGAGGUAGGCGGAAUGCGUGGUGUAGCGGUGAAAUGCAUAGAUAUCACGCAGAACUCCGAUUGCGAAGGCAGCUUACUAAACCAUAACUGACACUGAAGCACGAAAGCGUGGGGAUCAAACAGGAUUAGAUACCCUGGUAGUCCACGCAGUAAACGAUGAUUACUAGGAGUUUGCGAUACAAUGUAAGCUCUACAGCGAAAGCGUUAAGUUAUCCACCUGGGG
rnacentral:rRNA from 1 species